AGGAAGUCCCACAGAUGAGAUUCCUCACUAGUCUGACUAACACUGUCCUCACUCUCCUUGGGGUCUUUUGAGCUAUUCCUGAGGACUGUAGUUCCAUUUCUGUCUACAGGUGGGUUGUAGCUCCUUGCCUCAAUCAACUGAGCAAUACAGAAUUUGGAGCAUAUGCCUCAUUAGUGAGAAGGGACUCACUAGUGCAGGUGUGAUUCAUCACUUUAGAGAGCACGUCAGGGAUCAGGGCAUGAAGCAGCUUGACUAACAGAGGCAAUAACAAUGCAGGCAAGGGCCACGUUACAGAACCGAGUAAUAAAACAGCAGAGCAGCUGAAAAUGUGUAAUGGGACAGAGUGAGAGCACAAAGCAGAAACCUGGCUGUCCACAACACCUGUAUCUGGGUUUCAGCUGGGAGCAAACCCUGGCUGUUGAGAGAAUCUGGAGUACGUCCUCCCACAAAUUCCUCAUGGAGGUUCUUCGUGUAUCUCUUUUUCUAGACAAAUUAAUCUUGGGAUCCCAGUGGCUGCAUAGCAUCCACUGCAUACUAAAGAGCUAGUUAUUCUGGAGCCAAAUGCCAGGGAACAACAGUGCCCCGCUGCAGAGAGAAGCACAUUAAUUCCAGCACAGCUGAGCAGCGAGAUGUGCAGGGACAUCUCUCCAGAGAGAGCGUGGCUCCUCUUCCAUCUGGCAGCACAAAAGAGGACAGGCCUGAAUCCUCAAGACAUGAAGAUUAUGUUAUGUAACAUGCACGCUCACUGCUUCCCGAGACAGGGCUAAGUUAAACUAUCCGUGUGAUUCAGUCCAAGGCCAAGCCAGAGAGGAGCUGUGCUUCCCUCCCGAACCUGGGGGAUUCUGGAGCAAAAGACCUGAGCAAAGCUCUUUGGUAAGAGCAAAGCUUUGCACAAACUCAUGCAGAUCUUUUACAAGCACAAUAAACUACAUACGUGAUGGAGUCAUCUCUUUCUGAAAUGUGAUCUGGACUGCAGGAUUAUGGCUGCUUUUCAGAGACAGGUGGACUCUUCAGCUUCAUUUAAAAGGAUCCCUUAUUAUCAGUGACUUUCUGGGAUAUCUACUGUCAGGAAACAGGUAGUUCCCAGUUUCCAGGUGCUCUUGUCUGUUUACCCAGCCUCGGAAAACCUAAGGCAUAGUAGGAUCUUAUCAACACUGGCACUUUAUGAAAUGUCUUAAUUACCUCAAUUUUCUAUAGCUUCUUUCACUUUCCAGAUGAUUUCAAGCUGCAAACAAGGUUCCCAGAAGAUUUUAUAGAGACUCUGCUCAUGACACCACUUAAAUAUAUACAUGACAGCAAGUCAUACUCUUUCUAAUAAUAUCAAAUAUUUUAAAAUAUACAUUGUCUGAGCUUAGACAGUUGAAACAUAUUGUUAAUGGGUUUGUGCAUUAAAGAUGUGAGGACUAAUGACAGACGAGACAGAUCAAACAGAGGUUUUUCCUGACACUCCAGCUCUGAAGAACUCAAAUGUGGAUAAGACUGUUAUGUAAGACAGGCUUUUGGAUAUCACUGAAGUGCUUUACAAUUAAGUCUGAAUAUUAAUAAAAGACUUAAACUGAAAACCUCCAGCUAUUAGAAGGAUUAGGACUUUGCAGUGGGCUAGGGGAAUAUAUACAAUGUCAAAGCCAUUUUCUUGGUUGUGAUCAAAGGCAGAAAAGGCUGUGGCAGAAACAACAUCUUAGAAGAAGAGGAAUAGAGCUGCAGCAUCCCAUAACAAUACCGAUGAUUAAUAAUAACAAUAAUAACAGCAGCAGCAACUACUUGUGCAGAAGAAAAAAGACAAAACUUAGGAGUGGAUCCUAGAGACUCUUGCUCAGCAAUGUAUCCUCUGACAGGAGAUAUCUGCACAAGAAGGGGAAAGCAUCUGCUCAUUUACACCCCUGUGGCUGUUCUGACUGUCCUGGGAAGAGCACAUGAGAACAGAAUUCCUGCUCGGUACCUUUGUCACUCAGUGCUGAUGUCAGCUCUCCACAGCAGAGCAGCGGCCAAGAGAAAUGUGUGUGGAUGUUUACAGGGCUCAAUGCUACAUAAACAAACUGCGGCUUAAUAGAUUUAUUUUCUGGAGAUUGGUAAUAUUUUCAAAAACAGUAUCUCAAGGAAGUGCCCUGAAGGGUAUUUAUCUUGACAGCCUGGGCCAUUUCUCAUGGGAACAAUUGCUCUGAUAGUUCCAUUGUGUUCUACUGAAAUAUCAGAUUGUAAUACACUGUAAUCAGGCAAUAGUAUUGGCUGCAUUUUGAAUAUAUUUCUUACAAGGUGUUCUCUCCUUGGAAGUACCUGGAGACUCUGCCAGUGUGUCAUUCCCACACCAUGACUUCUACUGCAGGGGCUGCCUGUAGCAUGUUCCCUCCCAAGGCAUAGCCUUGGCCACUCUUACUGUAAAUGGUUCAGUUGCCCAGGCUCAGGAGCAGGGACAUGGCAAAAGCCUUCAUUGGGUUAAGCAGAGACAGCUGGAAAUGCGUCACUAAUAAGGAAUAACUUUGAAAGCAGUUUGGGUGCAGAGGGAUUAAGGAAUGCCAUAUGGUAUCAGGAAUAAAAAGAUGCCAAGCAGUGUAACUUCAACGGAAAAGAAGCUACCGAGAUGUCCAGAAGAGCUGCAAGUCUGGAAAUACAGAAGGAAAUUGGGAAAAUAUAAACUGCAUGUGUAUGUGCUAUGAACCCAUGUUUAUUUAAAAGCCAUGUAUGCCAGUAAAAAGGAAGACAAUCAGAAGUUUUAUUUUUCUUAAUACUUAAUUUUGACACAUUUAAAAUGUUUAAGGAGGUUCCAGUCAAUUUUGGCAGUGAAAACUCCUUAGAAAUCCAUAUACUUGAUGAGAUAGUGAACUUCAUAUAAAAAUGGAAUGUUAAGAUUUAUUCUCUUCAGGCAAAAAAAAAAAAAAUAAAUAAAGUGAAGCUAAAGAAAAGCAUGUGCCUGGCUGAUUCUUACCUUUUCAAAGAUUACUAGGGGAUGUCUCUCCCGAGAACUUUUCAGAAAAUUCAGAUUAAGGUCUGUCCUCUUAAUAGGGAAUUGAUUCACC